UGGAUUGGAGGAGUCGACGGAGCAUGUCCUUUUUUAUUGUCCGAGGGUGAGUUUGAUUUGGAGGAUGGUAGAUGACCAGCCAUUGGUGGCAAAUGAUGGCCCUUGACUUUCACCAUUCUUAGAUACAAUCUGUUGGAGCAUGAUCAAGAGCUCACCUAGGGGUAGCAGGAUGGCAUAUAUUGCCUAUCAGAUCUGAUUGUUUAGAAACAUCUUGA
rnacentral:lncRNA from 1 species